AUAACCACGUAAUUAAUACUGCGUAUUUAAUAUCAUCGUUCCUUCGUGCGCUCUGCACCACGGGCUUGGUAGCUCAAGGGAUAAAUACACAUCCCAAUAUUCUACCACUUCAAAUUUCUCGAGACCGUGGGAAAGAGGAAAAGAGGAAAAGAGAGAAAAGGAGAGUCCAAAAAAGAGAAUCAUGGACGAGAAUCAGUGACAGAAAGGAGAAGGAGAACAAUCUCGUCUUUUACACCCUGUGUAUCACCGGACAGACUAUUCUGUCUAGAGAUUCUUUGUUAUAUAUAUAUGUAUAUAUAUGUAUGUAUAUAUAUGUAUGUAUAUAUAUAUAUACCUAUAACGAAGUCGUUUUGAAACUGGUCGAAGUGUUUUCAGUGUGCUUCUUCGGAUAACGACGUCGCAACCAAAUUCAAUG
rnacentral:misc_RNA from 1 species